GACGAACCGUGCGAACGUUGUUCGGAAUCACUGGGCUUAAAGCGCGUGUAGGCGGUUCGGUAAGUCUGCUGUGAAAGUCGGGGGCUCAACCCUCGAAUGCCGGUGGAUACUGUCGGACUAGAGUGCGGAAGAGGCGAGUGGAAUUCCUGUGUAGCGGUGAAAUGCGCAGAUAUCAGGAGGAACACCAAUUGCGAAGGCAGCUCGCUGGGACGUUACUGACGCUGAGACGCGAAAGCGUGGGGAGCAAACAGG
rnacentral:rRNA from 1 species